rnacentral:rRNA from 1 species
CCUACGGGAGGCUGCAGUGGGGAAUAUUGCGCAAUGGGCGAAAGCCUGACGCAGCGACGCCGCGUGAGGGAUGAAGGUCUUCGGAUCGUAAACCUCUGUCAGCAGGGAAGCACGGUCACUGUGCUAAUCAGCAGUGAAUUGACGGUACCUGCAAAGGAAGCACCGGCUAACUCCGUGCCAGCAGCCGCGGUAAUACGGAGGGUGCGAGCGUUAAUCGGUAUUACUGGGCGUAAAGCGCUCGUAGGCGGUAUGUCAAGUCAAGGGUGAAAGCCCCGCGCUCAACGUGGGAACUGCCUUUGAAACGGGCAAACUGGAGUGUGUGAGAGGAUAGUGGAAUUCCAGGUGUAGGAGUGAAAUCCGUAGAUAUCUGGAGGAACAUCAGUGGCGAAGGCGACUAUCUGGCACAUAACUGACGCUGAGGAGCGAAAGCGUGGGUAGCAAACAGGAUUAGAUACCCCUGUAGUC